rnacentral:rRNA from 1 species
UACGUAGGGUGCAAGCGUUAAUCGGAAUUACUGGGCGUAAAGCGUGCGCAGGCGGUUUUGUAAGUCUGUCGUGAAAGCCCCGGGCUCAACCUGGGAAUUGCAUUCGAGACUGAAUAGCUAGGGUACGGUAGAGGGAAGUGGAAUUUCCGGUGUAGCGGUGAAAUGCGUAGAUAUCGGAAGGAACAUCAGUGGCGAAAGCGACUUCCUGGACCGGUACUGACGCUGAGGCGCGAAAGCGUGGGGAGCAAACGGG